rnacentral:rRNA from 1 species
UACGAGGGGUGCAAGCGUUGCUCGGAAUUAUUGGGCGUAAAGGGCAAGUAGGUGGUCUCAUUUGUCUGGGGUGAAAGCCUUGAGCUUAACUCAAGAAGUGCCCCGGAAACGGUGAGACUCGAGUACUGGAGAGGGUCGUGGAAUUCCCGGUGUAGCGGUGAAAUGCGUAGAUAUCUGGAGGAACAUCGGUGGCGAAGGCGGCGAUCCCUGGACCGGUAUUGACGCUGAGGCGCGAAAGCCAGGGGAGCAAACAGG